UGGGGGAUAGUGAGGGGAUAAAUUUUCUUAAGGAACUCGGCCAAAUCCCAAUGGCCCACCAGGGCAUAUUGGAACACGGGCCUCGACUGUUUACCAAAAACAUAGCCCUCGGCUAAUAUGAAAAUAGAUGUAUAGAGGGUGAUGCCUGCCCAAUGGUUGUAUCUAAAAGCGGUUGAUAAAAGUCGACCUCGUAAGGACAAUUGAAUGGCCGCGGUAACACUGACCGUGAUAAUGUAGCGUAAUCAAUAGCCAAUUAAUUGUUGGCCAGUAUGAAUGGCGCCACGAAGGCCCCACUGUCUUAAGGAAAUUCCCAGUGAAAUUGAAUUCGUAGUGAAGAUGCUACGUGCAAUUUGUUAGACGAAAAGACCCCGUUGAGCUUUACUGGAGCACUUACAUGGCCCUGGCCUUCCCAUGCUUGGGAACCGGCCGAAUUUCCCUAUCAAAUGAUAGGCUACUAGAAAAUGGGCGGCUUAGAUUAUGUGGCAGCCCCCCGCUGGGGCAAAUGAAACCCCACUCCCCCAUGUCAAAGGGGCUAACCCCCCCCCUUGGGGGGACAGUGUAAGUAGGACAGUUUGGUUGGGGCGACCGCCUUUUAAAGAGUAACGAAGGUGCGCUUAAGGUGCGCAAUAAAUGACUGAAGCCUGACUGCGAGGGGGACACCCCGAGCAGACACCCCAAAGCCCGCCCGAAGGGCGGCGGUGGGGUGGGCCAUAGUGACCCGUUAAUUUAGAGUGGAAUAG
rnacentral:rRNA from 1 species